UACGGGGGGGCAAGCGGUGUUCGGAAUUACUGGGCGUAAAGGGCGCGUAGGCGGCCCGUUAAGUCCGCUGUGAAAGACCGAGGCUCAACCUCGGGGUGUCAGCGGAGACUGUCGGGCUGGAGUCUCGGAGAGGGAUGCGGAAUUCCUGGUGUAGCGGUGGAAUGCGUAGAGAUCAGGAGGAACACCGAUGGCGAAGGCAGCAUCCUGGCCGAGUACUGACGCUGAGGCGCGAAAGCGUGGGGAGCGAACGGG
rnacentral:rRNA from 1 species